rnacentral:rRNA from 1 species
UACGUAGGGUGCGAGCGUUAAUCGGAAUUACUGGGCGUAAAGCGUGCGCAGGCGGUUCGUUAAGUUCGUUGUGAAAGCCCCGGGCUCAACCUGGGAACUGCAAUGGAAACUGGCGGGCUUGAGUAUGGCAGAGGGGGGUGGAAUUCCGCGUGUAGCAGUGAAAUGCGUAGAGAUGCGGAGGAACACCGAUGGCGAAGGCAGCCCCCUGGGCUGACACUGACGCUCAGGCACGAAAGCGUGGGGAGCAAACAGG